AAAUUGGCCUCCAGACGAGAGAAUCCCUAAAAAAAGCCCUAUUUUUUCCUCUGCCAUUCUCAAUCCUCGCAGAUUUUGCAUCCUGCGUGGGCUGGUAGGAAAUAUCGGGACCUUUCACAGGGACGAUGAACAAUGGAGGGGCAUUUUCGGUAUGAAAUAACACCUCAGACCAGAAUGCAUGUUUCCUUUAAUAUUUUUCCAAACAGUGGGCAUAUCUUGCAUUUGGGUUCCGAAAAUGUUAUUAUUCCCAAAUUGCCCAUCAAAACA